UGUCCGUAUAGCUCAGUGGUUAGAGCAUCCGUCAUGAAAACGGGAGGUCGUGGGUUCGUAUCCCACUGCGGUAA